AGUGAACGCUGGCGGUAGGCCUAACACAUGCAGGUCGAACGGCAGCACAGUAAGAGCUUGCUCUUACGGGUGGCGAGUGGCGGACGGGUGAGGAAUACAUCGGAAUCUACUUUUUCGUGGGGGAUAACGUAGGGAAACUUACGCUAAUACCGCAUACGACCUACGGGUGAAAGCAGGGGAUCUUCGGACCUUGCGCGAUUGAAUGAGCCGAUGUCGGAUUAGCUAGUUGGCGGGGUAAAGGCCCACCAAGGCGACGAUCCGUAGCUGGUCUGAGAGGAUGAUCAGCCACACUGGAACUGAGGCACGGUCCAGACUCCUACGGGAGGCAGCAGUGGGGAAUAUUGGACAAUGGGCGCAAGCCUGAUCCAGCCAUACCGCGUGGGUGAAGAAGGCCUUCGGGUUGUAAAGCCCUUUUGUUGGGAAAGAAAAGCAGCAGGUUAAUACCCCGCUGUUCUGACGGUACCCAAAGAAUAAGCACCGGCUAACUUCGUG
rnacentral:rRNA from 1 species